AUCUUGGUGGACUUGACUUGAACAAGAAUGCUUGUUGAUGAUUGGGUUUUCACGCACAUGUGUGAAAUAUGCCACCGUUGAACCUUGUUACACUGUUGGCACAUUACCUGUCUGAUC
rnacentral:snoRNA from 1 species